rnacentral:rRNA from 1 species
GACGUAGGGUGCGAGCGUUGUCCGGAUUUAUUGGGCGUAAAGAGCUCGUAGGCGGUUCGUUGCGUCAGCUGUGAAAACCCGCAGCUUAACUGUGGGCUUGCAGCUGAUACGGGCGGACUAGAGUUCGGUAGGGGAGACUGGAAUUCCUGGUGUAGCGGUGAAAUGCGCAGAUAUCAGGAGGAACACCGGUGGCGAAGGCGGGUCUCUGGGCCGAUACUGACACUGGAGGAGCGAAAAGCGUGGGGAGCGAACAGG